rnacentral:rRNA from 1 species
AGGACGAACGCUGGCGGCGUGCUUAACACAUGCAAGUCGAGCGGAAAGGCCCUUCGGGGUACUCGAGCGGCGAACGGGUGAGUAACACGUGAGUAAUCUGCCCCUAGCUCUGGGAUAGCUCCGGGAAACCGGGAUUAAUACCAGAUACGACCACUUUAGACAUCUGCUGUGGUGGAAAGAAUUUCGGCUAGGGAUGAGCUCGCGGCCUAUCAGCUUGUUGGUGAGGUAACGGCUCACCAAGGCGACGACGGGUAGCCGGCCUGAGAGGGCGACCGGCCACACUGGGACUGAGACACGGCCCAGACUCCUACGGGAGGCAGCAGUGGGGAAUAUUGCGCAAUGGGCGAAAGCCUGACGCAGCGACGCCGCGUGGGGGAUGAAGGCCUUCGGGUUGUAACCCCUUUCAGCAGGACGAAGCGAAAGUGACGGUACCUGCAGAAGAAGCGCCGGCUAACUACGUGCCAGCAGCCGC